UGUUGGCUUUGGUGAUUUUUAAAGCUAAAAAUAAAAGGGGGCUGCCUUUCAAAUUGCUGCUUACUCUGGGCCUGGAGACCAAGGCAGAGAUGGUCCUUUGAUGCAGCAUCAGAACUAGGGUUUGGGGCUUGGCUCGAGAGUAGUGCACACACAGCCUUAAAUCAGAUGCCUGUAAUUUCUGCUAUAUUUGUCACGCGUGGUCCUGGUGGCAGGAGGAGUGGGCAGACAUGCCUAAGGAUGGGAUUGCGUGUCCUCAGCAUAUUGGUGUCAUCAGGCAGCUGUGAAAUGAGAGUGGAGGCUGGCCUUUUGCAUAGACCCCAGUGUAGAUGGGACAGAAACUGCUUCUGCUGUCUGAAGCCAAGCAUAAGAGGAAUCAGACAGUAUCCUAUCUCCUGAGCAGAGUUAGUGCCAGUGAAUUUGGUUGCAUUGUUUGAUACCAUCCUCACAGAAGGCUAUGAAAUAUACACAAUUACUCUUCCACUUUUCGGUUGACCUUUGUUGUCUAGAAGUUAAACAGCUGUCCUAAGAGGACAUGCAGCAGAGUCAAGGAUGGGAAAGGAGGAGACCAAGUAGAGUCCUACUGACAAGCAGCAAAGUGUGAUACCACAAAGCAUGUACAACCCUCCAGCUCCCUGACACCAACCAGGGAGAAGGACCUCUUUAACAAGGUUUGGUCCAAAGAGCUUGUACCUGCAAGAGGUAGAAAGCACCCGAACUUGGAAGGAAAUAUACUCUUUGGGUGGGGACCCUCAGUGCAGUGUUCCUUUAGUAAGUCAGAAGGUGAUCCUAUCCUGAAUUUGGGCUCCUUGUGGACUGCUAGGAGCGGUUUCAGAUAAUUUAUGGGCCUUGAAUCUUGGUGAUUUUAAGAGCUCAGAUUCUGGCAUUGUAGGAUUUCAAUGACUUCAAGGCAUGUGAAGGUUUCAUACCCAUCAGGCAGCAGGAUUGGCCUUGUGCUUGUCUGCAUGGAACAGCAGGACAGAGUCUAAAUGGGCUUCAGUCAAGAUGAGAGGGACGGAUGUGUGCAAACUGGGAGUCUUCUUUGUUAUAUUUACUUAUCCAUCGAUAUCUGUCUUGGUGACUUUUCCUGUUGUUGUGAUAAAAUACCCCGACAAAAGCAACUACAGGAAAGGAGGAUUCAUUUCGGCUUACUAUUCCAUUGUAUAGUUCAUCCAUCAUGACCCGGAGCAUGGUGGCAGGAGCUUGGAAGCUGGUCACAUUGCACCUGUAAUCAAGAAGUGAUGAGUAUCCCCACUCAGCUAACUUCCUCCUCUUUAUGCAGUUCAGGACCCAAGCCUAGGGAAUUGGGUCACCUCAUUGUAUGGUGGGUCUUCCCAGUCAACAAACCUAUCAAAAUAAUCCCUUAGUGGAAAGCCCAGCGGCUAGCCUAAUAUAAACAAUCCCUCACAGGUGUGUCUAGAGGCUUGUUCCCUAGGUAACCCCUUAUCCUGUCAAGAUGACAAUCAACGUCGACCAUCACAGUGUGUCUUCAAUAAACAUUAAUUGUUCUCUAAAACCACAUCACCAGAAAUGUUAAAAUGAUACUAGUAUUGGCUUCUAAAAGAACAAAUACAACUAACCAAAAUCCUGUGGCAGGAAGCACAGUGCCCUCUAAGCCCAUAUCAAGGCGCUGUUGAGCAGGAAGGUAGGAAAGGCUGGAGAUGUCAAUGCAUCUUUAAAAUGCAGCUCUAGAUAGAGUUAACCUGUGUGAGUUCUAGGAGCUAGGCUAAAAUAACAAAGGCGAGCCUCAUACUCUGGUCCUUAAUAUCCCAUCAGUAAAAUGACUAUAUCAAUAAUCACCAUAAUAAUACUCACUAAAUGGAGCUGUGAGGAUUCAGUGAGAUUCUAUUUGAUUAUAAAGUAAUUUCUAAAUAUAAGUGAUUUUAUUUCAGUUCUCCAUCUCUUUUUCUCUCAACUUUCCUUUCCCCUUUCUUAAGUUCAACAACCUCCUUUCAUGUGGCCAAUGAAGUCUCAGGCUUCUCUGAACUCUGAAGUUCAUGAUUCAUGGAAAAUACCAAAUUUGACGAGAUCCUGUCUUCCACUGUUUGAUCGUUUAUUCCUGGGAGGGCUAGAACUGCAGGGGACUAUCACAGGCUGGCAAGCACACAAGCUCUUUCCUGUCAGCAACAAGAGCCUUAUGAGCUUCCUGCUCAACAGAAAAGUUAAGUUAUACAGCCCAGCCAGAGAGCUUAAAGGGGAAAGUCAGACUCUCAUUAUGAAUCUGAAUUGUGGUCCUCAAAAUUCAUAUUGAAGCCCUAACCACCACUGCCUUACUUAGAAUGUGGUGGUUGAGGGCGCUGGAGACAUGACUCCGUUUGUGAACUGCUUGCUGUGGAAGAACAAGUUUGGUCGACAGCAUCCAUAUAAAAUCUGGAUGUGUCAGUAGAUAUCUGUAAUCCAAUUCCACACUGGGAAGGCAGAGACAGGAAGAUGAUCAGCCAGCCUCAAGCUACAGGUUCAGUGAGAGACCCUGCCUCAAAGAAGACAGAAAUUGAGGAAGGCACCUGACUUCUACCUUUGGUCUCUAUGCACACAUGCUUGCACACUACACAUGCACACAUGUGCAUGAGGAAGCUUCUAGCCUCCUCCAUACAACUUUUUUUAGACCUAGAAUGUCUUCAGCCUCUGAGACUUGCUGGUGAAUAAGCUCACCCCUUCCUAGUUCUUUCUGAACUCUGACUGGCUGGUUCAACUCAGCUGUUCUGGCCCAAACUCCUUUCACCCAGUCUUCUCGGUUCCCAAAUGAAAGACACACAUGCACACACAUGUACACACAUGCACACACACAUGCACACACACAGCUUUUUAUAUUUUGAUGUGCCUAAAACAGCUCAGUGGCUGGGCCACUUCCCAACCUCUGCAUGGCCAGCUGUAACUUUAUUUACCAAUCAGAACCAACCGGAGACAAGGUGCCUCAGUGUCUUAUGUGCCGAUUCUCACGCAAAGAAUUUUGGGAACCCAAAUUAGCACAAUAUAAGCAGCCACAUACAAUCUCCAUGUCCACAAAAUACACACUCCGAGAUUUUCAGUUUUUAGUGGACAAAUGGCUGUGUAUAGCUAGCUAUGUAUAAAAUAUAUUGGUUGUCUUGAUAUCUGGAUAUAUUAUGGAGAGUUUAAUUCAGUUAUCAUAUGCAUCAUCACAAAGAUAUAUUAUUUCUUUUGGCGGAAACAUUAACUCUCCCCUUCAGCUGUUUGGGGGUAUCCACAGCCCCUUGUUGUUAUCGUUCCCUGUAGACACCUCAUUGUGCAAUGAAACACUGGAAGGAAUCCCUCUUCCCCCUCACUGAACCUUUAUAUUCUUUCACACCACUCUAUAUCAUAUUUGGUUUCCAGAUUAGUGUCUUUCUUUUAACUACCAUGUAUGAGGCCAUUGAGUCUCUUGGUUCACACAUGCACCUAAAGAUGGACCCUCUGGUAUACAGAGUAGGUGAGCAUGUAUCAUUAGUUGACAAUGGCAGUUUUCAGCUGUUUUUUCUGAUUCACAUUCCGACUCUCCCACAUUAUUUUGUCACAUUUUUGCCUCUGACAGUCUACUUAAUUUUAGGCCUUCUGGUGGGUGUAUACUUAACCUUAUUCCAUGGCUUUAAUUACAAUAUCUUAGUGACUAUUAAAAUGGAAAUAUUCUCACACAUGAACUGUCUUUUAUGUGUUCUUUUUGAGAUAUGUCCACGAAUCUGUGGUUUAAUUUCUGGCAAGCCUGUCUGUGUUUCUUUUGCUUCAGUGUGCCUAGUCUUUGCACAUCCUGGGUCAGACUUUUGUUUUUUUUCUGUGCAGAAGAGGCCAACCACUGAGACACAUCCCCCACCCCCUGGAUGAGAGUCUUCUUGACACAGUUUGCAUACUGCAGAUACCUCCUCACAGCCUGUGACUUUCAUUUUCACUCUCCAUGUUAUAUCUUUAAAUGAGCAAACGUUCUUGCUUUUAGCACAUUACAUCUAGACGGAGAUCAGGAAGUCUUAUGGAAGAGUUAGGAGAAGGACUGAGGAACUUGGGGGAAAUAGGGACUCUAAAGAAGACCAACAGAGUCAACUAAUGUGGACCCUUGGGAGCUCCCAGACUGAACUACCAACCAAAGAGCGUAUGUGGGCUGGACCUAGGCCCCCUGCACAUAUGUAGCAAAUGUAUAGUUUGGUGUUCAUGUGGCUCCCCAACAACUAGAGAGGGGCUUUCCCUGACUCUGCUGCCUGCCUGUGGAUCCUGUUCCCCUUGUCUGAACUCGGCGGGAGAGGAUGUGCUUAGUCCUGCAGUGACUUGAGGUGCCAGGGUAAGUUUGUAGUCAGAGAGGGCUUUCCAGUUCUCAGAGGUGAAGGGGAGGGGGAGGCGGAGAGGGACCAUGUGAGGGGGGACUGGAAGGAGGAUGGCUACGAUCAGGAUAUAAAGUUAAUAAAUAAAUUAAUGUAAACAAAACCCAGCAAAUUACAUUUAUCAUGACUUUCUUAUUUUCAGAGCUUUCUGUUUGCUGUUUGUGUAUCCGAGGCUAUGAAGGGACUGCUCUGUGUUAGAGUUUUGGACUUGUACAAUUUAGAUCUGAACUGAGCUGGAAAGCUGGCUGUGGACAUAAAUUGUUUGCAACCUACAUUUAAUAAGUGUUCAACCUCUCCUCUAGCCCACCACCCAGCAGAGGUAGUGGAAGAGAAAAGUUACUAAGAUAUAGGGGAAGUGGAGCUGUUCAGCAAGAGUUCUUUGGGGGCCAGCUCGAUCUUCUUGGGCAGCAGUUCAGUCCUGUAUCAAACACUAACUAUGAUUCAGCAGCUGCAGACCAGUCCUCUGGGCAGGUAGAUACCAGGCAUGAACAGGCAGCUACAGUCCAGUCCUUUUAGCAAGCAGACAGCAGGCACAAACCAGCAACUAUACUUCAAUCCUGAAGAAACCUCCAGGCUUGCCAACUGGUCUGAGGUGAGGCUGCAGAAGUGGCAAGCUGCCACAGGAACCUUGAGAGCACCCCUUGGGUGAGUUUCUCUCAAUGGCAGUAUUAUCACAAAUUGAGCUCAACAACGAUAUGUAAGAUGAAUCAAUGAAUGUGUCUCUUUAGCGAAGAAUAGCAAGGUGGAGGAAACCAAACCAAGGCUCAGUGGUCAUCUUCCACUGCCUGUGAGGUCAUAUUUAUAUUCCUUCAUCAAGAGUCCUUUCACAUGUUUGCUAUAUCCAAACACCUUUCACCAGUGUGUCUGAUUCAGGAAAACAUUCUUUCACUCAUUUUGCUUUAUCAAGACAUCCUGUGUGCCCCAGAAAAAUCAUCAUUUGACAUAACUAACUUUCCAAAGAACUAGAAGUUUCCACUUCAGCUAAACUUUAUACAAAAGAUGCUUGUACAGUGGGCUCAGAUGCCCAGCACAGCUUUUAACCUCUGUUUGUGUAUUUAAUGUGAGGCAGAAGUGGAAUGCUUUCUUUUUUCCCUGUACGAAUAUACAUAUAGUUAAAAAGUGAUACGGUUUAUUAAAAAGAAUCCAUUUCACCUGCUGCGUCCCCUUUUGAUUUAACUCAAGUGUUUGUGUGUGUGUGUGUAUCUGUUAUGGAAUGUUUUAUUGGCUUGUUUUCUGCUUUCAUAACCAUACUAUUCUGUUUCAAAUAUUAAAACUCAUCUUAAAAUAUUAGUGCCGAGGACAGCAAGAGUAAUGUUUGCUGUGUUCUUCUUCAUGAAUAAAUGGGUUGCACAUAUGUUUUAGAAUUUAGUCAGUCCUCAGAAGAACAUCUAGUGGGAAUUUAGCCAAAAUUGAAUUAAAUCUGUAGGUCAAUUUGGAAGGUGUUGCCAUAACUACAUUAUUGAGUCUUCCGGCACAGGAACAUGGGACAUGGGAUGUCUAUCUCUUCAGGCCUUCCCUUCUGAGUGACGUCUUAAAUCCUGUGAUGCGCAGGACAUACACAUUUGUUUAUGUUUGUCCUCAUGUAUUUCAGUUGUAUGAUGCCAGAUAAAAGCUAUUUUUCCUUCUAUUUCUGGUUAAACAAAUUUUAAUGCUAAGCUGUUUUUGUACAAUGCUAAUAAAGUUUGCCAUUGCCGAUCUUGUUUA